rnacentral:misc_RNA from 1 species
GUGAAUCAUCGAAUUUUUGAACGCAAAUUGCACUUUCUGGGAUUCCGGUAAGUAUUCCUGUUUGAGGGUAUGAUAAAUAAAAAUCGGUGUUGUUGCUGCCUUUCGUGGUGACGCGUCGGAAUUUAGUUGUCUUAUUUUCGGUUAAGUGACUUAAAUUUUUGUUUGACUUUCGAACGUAUUUAAAUUUCUUACGUAUGUUUGAGUUAUCGAAUCCUUUAUUAGUUUCGGUGAUCAUCAUGAUGCGCACCUAUAAUUUUUCAUUAAUUGA